AAUGAGAAAUAAAAUGUAGGAGUCAGACAGAAAUGAAAAUAUCAGCUUUAUUACUGAUAAAAUGGAUUGUAAAGUAAGGCUUAGGUAUAUAGCCAUAAGGGCUUCCUUGGAUCAUUGAUUAGGUUUGGUGCUGGUACUGGAAAAUUCAAAAGGACAGUGGCAUCAAUGAUGAAAAGACUAUUUCGCACCUAAAAGUCCAGAGGUGUCAGAUCCAGACUGGUAGAGAGCACUGCACAAUGUACCAGCCCCAGACUCCUUUCCGUGUCGCUGCUUUGCUGUGUGUGUUUUCCUUUUCAUUUAGGGGACCAGGAUGCAUGCUCCAGCUCAUUAUCAUGUAUACCUUACAGCCAAGAAGAAAAAAGAGAUUAAGAAAUCUUCCUGAAUAGUCAUAAGAGAGUUCUUCUUCGGGCAGAAUGUCUCUGGCUGCAAAAAGUGCCAACUUUGGUACCAUCGAGUCGAUUCGGACAGGAAUCAUCAACAGAGAUCCCCAACACCUCACCGGCAUAUUCACAGACAAACCGUCCCUUUGGUAUGAAGUCCAGGGUACGAAGUCCCCAGCCUUUGUGAUCCGUCUUGAACACCUGGAGGUGGAACUGCAGACCCCACUGGACCACUCUG